rnacentral:misc_RNA from 1 species
UCCGAGUUGACCCCGGCAGUCUCCCACGAGUCCCCGACAUAACUCGCUGGCAACAUGGGACAAGGGUUGCGCUCGUUGCGGGACUUAACCCAACAUCUUACGACACGAGCUGACGACAGCCAUGCAGCACCUGUCUCACUGUCCCCGAAGGGAAAGAUACAUCUCUGUACCGGUCAGUGGAUGUCAAACCCAGGUAAGGUUCUGCGCGUUGCUUCGAAUUAAACCACAUACUCCACCGCUUGUGCGGGCCCCCGUCAAUUCCUUUGAGUUUUAGUCUUGCGACCGUACUCCCCAGGCGGGAUACUUAAUGCGUGAGCUACGGUACCCAGGAGGUUAACAUCCCGGACACCUAGUAUCCAUAGUUUACGGCGUGGACUAC